rnacentral:rRNA from 1 species
CGGAGGAAAGAACCAAACAGGGAUUGCCCUAGUAACGGCGAGUGAAGCGGCAACAGCUCAAAUUUGAAAUCUGGCUCUCUUGGGGGUCCGAGUUGUAAUUUGCAGAGGGUGCUUUGGCAUCGGCGGCGGUCUAAGUUCCUUGGAACAGGACAUCGCAGAGGGUGAGAAUCCCGUACGUGGGCGCCUGCCUUUGCCGUGUAAAGCCCCUUCGACGAGUCGAGUUGUUUGGGAAUGCAGCUCUAAAUGGGAGGUAAAUUUCUUCUAAAGCUAAAUACCGGCCAGAGACCGAUAGCGCACAAGUAGAGUGAUCGAAAGAUGAAAAGUACUUUGGAAAGAGAGUCAAAUAGCACGUGAAAUUGUUGAAAGGGAAGCGCUUGCAGCCAGACGUGCCCGCAGUUGCUCACCCAGGCUCCGGCCUGGGGCACUCUUCUGCGGGCAGGCCAGCAUCAGUUUGGGCGGUUGGAUAAAGGCCUCUGUCACGUAUCUCCCUCCGGGGUGACCUUAUAGGGGAGGCGCAAUGCAACCAGCCCGGACUGAGGUCCGCGCAUCUGCUAGGAUGCUGGCGUAAUGGCUGUCAGCGGCCCGUCUUGAAACACGGACCAAGGAGUCUAACAUCUAUGCGAGUGUUUGGGUGUCAAGCCCGGGCGCGUAAUGAAAGUGAACGGAGGUGGGAACCCUUUGGGUGCACCAUCGACCGAUCCUGAUGUCUUCGGAUGGAUUUGAGUAAGAGCAUAGCUGUUGGGACCCGAAAGAUGGUGAACUAUGCUUGAAUAGGGUGAAGCCAGAGGAAACUCUGGUGGAGGCUCGCAACGGGUUCUGACGUGCAAAUCGAUCGUCAAAUUUGGGCAUAGGGGGCAAAGACAAUCAAA